CUCUCUCACCAUUGUCGUGUGGGUGUGUACACGUUUAAAUAUCUUGAUUGCAUACACACUCCUUAUUAGAUAACUAGCCCUCUCUCUCUCUUAAAGCCACUUCUUGCUCUUCAUAAGGAUUGUGGAGGCGGUGAUAUCACCAUUUUAAGGGGUGCAAAAGGAAUUGGUUCAUCAUAACGGCGGUAACGACGACGAGGAGCCAAGCGCAGAAAGAGAGAUUCCAACCACCACCUCCUCUGAGCAGAAAUCACAUCUCUAACCCUUUUCCCCUCGUGCCUGGGUCUCAUUUUAUUUUGAACAAAGAGUGUGAUAAUGCAUGCAUCGGGGUUCCUCAGCCUCGAUCUCUGUUUAAUAUGCAUUUGAUACCCGGUUGAGCUCUAUCUGUCGAUUAAAAUGUGAACAAACUGCGAGGCUGGAGAAGAGGAAGAGAAAGGGUUGCCAAAUCGUUGUGAGGAACCGAUUUCUCGGUCCUGCUGGGGAUUUAUGUAUGAGGAAGGGGAGUCUAUUAACUCGUAAAAUAGACCUUUUCCACACACCCUCAAUUUAGAGAGUGAUCUAUGAAACACUUUUUUCCCCUCGUCUCUCCUACCUACCUAAAUGUGCAUAUUUGUGUAAUAAAAUUCCUGAAAAAAAUCGGGUGGAUUUGAACAAAAAUUAUUCACAAAUUAAGAUAAUAAUCUAGAACUGCGUUUGAUCAUGCCAUCCACCUCUCUGAUUGCAUGUAAUCAGAAGAACAAUUGUUGUGCGGAUGAAAGAGUUUCACCUGGAGCAAGCAACAACCGGCCGAACCAACCACCUCACCAAAACUCACCAACAACUCUUUCUUCAGAGCUUGUUAAAAGAAAUGAUUUUUUCCCAUUGCAUCACGAAGGAAUAGGACAAAGUGUGGAGUUGGACGUGGAUAUUUUUUUGGGUAAAAGAGUUUGAAAAUGAAAGCAGAAUUGGAUUGGAUGUGUAUGUGCGGAUGGGAUUUCCUUCCAUCCCACCAAAACUCCGCCUCUUUACCUAAACUGCAGCUUUCCAACCCAAAAAUACUAUUCACACUUUGAAAUAAAUUUAGUUUUAAUGAUUUUCUUAUUUAUGUAGGAAAAAAGAAAUUUGUAAUUUUCCUACUUUUCUACCAAAACCAGAAAGUAUGAGUGAAAAAGAAAGGAAAAACUGCAUAAAAUUAGUAUUCACUUCAUGCCCAAGUGAUUUCCUGGCAGCAUCAUCAUAAUUUUUAUACGAAUGUUUAUAAUUACGGAAAGGGGAGUCGAAUCACGUAUCUCACCGACCAACCAACCAACCACACCUUGGUCUUAAUGUGCAUUGUCUUUUAUUUUUUGUAUUUUUUUCAUCGUUCAUUUUUUAAUGGAGAAUCCUCCUCGUUAUCAAAUUAACUGCACCAGAUGUACAGUGACCGUUGUGUUGUUUUAUAUUUCAAUCACGUAUAUCCUGAAGUGACGAUUUGGUAUAGUUUUAAAAUUUAUCAUUUGUGCAGAAACAUUACUCAAAAGUAUUAAUUUAUUAAAAAGAUAAAAAAAACGAGGCUGCUGAUACGACCGUUAAUUUGACUAAAUACACAGACAGAGAGGGAAAAAAUGAUGAUGAGUUUGACCUAAUUACGUCAAACUUAUUAUGGCUUUUGUUAUACUGGACAUCUGCAUCCACGCCACUCUCUCUCUCUCUCUCGCGUACAAUCAUAUUUUCUUUAACAAUUAUUGCAGAUGCACAAAAAUAAAGGAAAGAGGGAAGAGUAGAAAAAAUUUGAAUAUUGGACAUCAUGCUGUCCAUUUCUAAUAAAGGGCAUUAUCACUCCAUGUCCAUUUGGACGACGGUGCGAGCACAGAUGUCCAGGCUAAAAGGAGGGUGAAGGAGAAGAGAGAGAGGAUAUAUUUAUAUGCUAAUGAGCUCAAAUUGUAUAUCUUAACAGAGAAACUGGUUUUACUUGGAAUCGUUUUUAAUUAUUGUUGCGAAAAUGCAUCCUUUGUUCAACUGUUGUGCUAGCUGGAGGUUUUGUAAUGGGACUUUUAUUUGGUAAAUUUAGGAUAAAGUGGGUUUUUAUGGGAAAAUAAUAAAUUAAUAAGCAGUUUCCCCAUUCUCUGCAUAUCUCAAACUGAACAAUAAUGAUUUGCAAUUUGGGAUUAUUAACCAGACUGAUAAAGUUAGGAAAUAUCCAAAGAAAAAUAUGUAAUAAUGCGAGAAAUGUGUACACGAGUAAAUGUCAAUUUGUUGAAAUUUCUAAUUCAUAUGCAUGAUU